rnacentral:rRNA from 1 species
UACGAAGGGGGCGAGCGUUGUUCGGAUUUAUUGGGCGUAAAGAGCGUGUAGGCGGCUUCACAGGUCUGCUGUGAAAAACUCGAGGCUCAACCUCGAGCUGUCGGUGGAAACCGUGGGGCUAGAGUCCGGAAGAGGAGAGUGGAAUUCCCGGUGUAGCGGUGAAAUGCGCAGAUAUCGGGAAGAACACCCGUGGCGAAGGCGGCUCUCUGGGACGGUACUGACGCUGAGGGCGCGAAAACGUGGGGGGAGCAAAACAGGG